AUCACCCCAGAACAGCAGCACUGAGAACUGAGCAAGAAGACAUGGACAGCGUCAGACCUCCGUCUACGAAAACGGCGUGGGGUGGGAGCUCACGGAAGGCUCUCCAGCCAGGAGCCUUGGCACCCGCAAUGCUUAAGGCUGUAGAUUCAGGGGUGGCUGACGGGGCUGAUGGGCAGCAGCCUCCAGCAGGCUCCUGGCAGAGACAUCUAACAGAACCAAUAAAUAACGCAGGCAGGUGCUGAAGGCACGCAUCGGAGUGUCUACUGACUGAGAGCAUUCUCGGGAUGGUGCUGAGCUGACUGUGGUAUCUCCCACCUGCAUCAGGUACGGCCCAGCGUUAGGGAGGCCGAGACAGGAGGGCACCUCAGGCUUGAGGUCAACCUGGCUGUACAGUGAGAGCCUGCCUGGAGAAAAUGCCAAAAGGAAAAC
rnacentral:lncRNA from 1 species